GCGGAAGGAUCAUUAUCGAAUUCUGAAGGGGAGGGAAGACGGAGGGGAGUGUAGGCUGUCGCUGGUCCUCUCAAGGGGGCAUGUGCACGUCUUCCUUUUCGUCGACCUUUCUCUCUCAUACACACACACCUGUGCACCCGUCGUAGGUCCUCGAAAGAGGAACUAUGUCUUUCACAUCACACCCCGUCGUAUGUCUAUAGAAUGUAUCGAAAACGUCGACCUGUUUUCGGACAGGCUGGCGUUUGAUAAUAAAUCAUACAACUUUCAGCAACGGAUCUCUCGGCUCUCGCAUCGAUGAAGAACGCAGCGAAUUGCGAUAAGUAAUGUGAAUUGCAGAUUUUCAGUGAAUCAUCGAAUCUUUGAACGCACCUUGCGCUCCUUGGUAUUCCGAGGAGCAUGCCUGUUUGAGUGUCAUUGAAUUCUCAACCAUGUCUUGAUCGGCAUGGCUUGGAGUUGGGGGCUUGCUGGCAGCGAAAAGCUGUCGGCUCUCCUGAAAUGCAUUAGCAAAGGACAGCGAGUCUCUGACGUGCACGGCCUUCGACGUGAUAAUGAUCGUCGUGGCUGGAGCGUUGGAACACGCAUGAAUCGUCCCGUGCUUCUAAUCCCCCUAGCCUUUCGGGUCGGCUCGCUUUAGCUACUAGUUGGCCGUGAGGUSGACGAACGUUGGAGUGGGGCUGGACUUGUCUGGCUUGUCUUUCGUGAAACUUGACCUCAAAUCAGGUAGGACUACCCGCUGAACUUAAGCAUAUCAAUAA
rnacentral:rRNA from 1 species